CCUACGGGAGGCAGCAGUGGGGAAUAUUGCCCAAUGGACGAAAGUCUGAGGCAGCAACUCCGCGUGAGGGAUGACGGCCUUCGGGUUGUAAACCUCUUUUCUCAGGGAAGAUACAAGACGGUACCUGAGGAAUAAGCCACGGCUAACUACGUGCCAGCAGCCGCGGUAAUA
rnacentral:rRNA from 1 species